UACGAAGGGUGCAAGCGUUAAUCGGAAUUACUGGGCGUAAAGGGUGCGUAGGCGGUUGUUUAAGUCUGUCGUGAAAUCCCCGGGCUCAACCUGGGAAUGGCGAUGGAUACUGGACAGCUAGAGUGUGUCAGAGGAUGGUGGAAUUCCCGGUGUAGCGGUGAAAUGCGUAGAGAUCGGGAGGAACAUCAGGGGCGAAGGCGGCCAUCUGGGACAAAACUGACGCUGAAGCACGAAAGCGUGGGGAGCAAACAGG
rnacentral:rRNA from 1 species